UCGGAUAUGGUGCAAGGGAUAGCGCGGCCGUUGAAUCCGAGUGAGGGUAGAUCGGGGUUCAAUUCCCCGUUUCCGUG